CGGCUCCACCCUGUCAGCACCAAUAAGCUGUGGGAGUGGUGGAAAGUGAGUGUAGCGGGUUGGGGAGAAGAGACUGGCGGAGUGGCAAGCUGAGUCCGUGGCUGAAGGAGACACGUGGAGCCAGAGAUGAGAGGACGUGCCCGGGAGCUGCGGCUGAGAGUAAAGUCGCCAGUUUACCAGGUCACCUUUUAAAGAGAUGCUCUCUGUGCAAGGCAGGCUGCUAAGAGGGGAGUUUCGAGAUAUCUGUGUAAGGCACAGCGCUGACUGAUUUCCUAGUGAUAACAAGCCUAACGGAAGCAAGACUAACUUAUUAACAACGUCGAAAGUAGCCUAUUUUAAGAGAAAAUAUGCAGAAGAAGAAAAUUUACAUCAAGAUUACCAGGGGUAUUUUCCAAAACACUUGAUAUCGCCUGAAGACCGAGCUUGUAUUCUCAAACUCUCGCUCGAUAAGCUUCGCUUCCUAGAAGACCCAGAGAACUACUUGCGGAGGUCAGUGCUGAUCAAUAAUCUGCUCCGGAAGAUCCACCUCGAGGCUGACAGAGAGAAAUAUGAAUAUUACAAAGAAAGCGCUGGCUGCAAAGCCGCCUUCUCUGAUGCAAGAAAACGGCUGAAGCAAAUGGUUAAGGGUUGCUGUCCUCAGACCUUGUAUUAUGAAGAGCUGCAUUCAUAUCGGAUGGUGCCUUACGUUGCGGAAAAUGUCAUUUAUGGAAUGGGCUACACAAACAGCUCGCUGGCACAAAAUCCUCCGCUGCUAAUGUAUACGGUGAAAGAGUGACUUUGCAGUUUUUGCAGAUGGAAGAAGGGCCUUCUGAUGGCCCACGCAGUAAAGCUAUCGCUGAUAAUGAGAAUUAGUAGGCUCUUAUGAAAUCCUAGAAUGCACUUGUGUCCAUUAUUGUGGUAAAGUCAAUGCAGACACUGAAUUUUGGUAGUGUAUGGAAGAUUUAAUGCCUUCGAUAUUUCUCCUGUACAUUGUAUGUGUGUAUCAGUAAGCCACAGCUCAAAUGUUGCAGCUUUUCUAUGGCAAAGUGCAAGCAGCUGUGUUUUGUCUCUUAGAGAUAUGGUUUUACCAUCAAUAGAGCUUUGCUGUAUUUCAUCUGUAUCUUUAAGCUAAACAAAUUUAAAUAUUUUUGUAAACUCAUAUCCAAAGGGUUGAGCCCUCCCCGCCAUACAUUUUUGAGAUAUUUUAAUAAGAAACAUUUUAUGACAGAUUUUGCUAUAGCGUUAGAUUUUAGGAAUUCGAGGUGCACUAUGCUAAACCAAUGCCUACUUUAUUAUGAAUCCUGCAUUUUAAUCUCCCUUAGAAUACCAUGGAUAUCCAGCCUGCAGCCCUUGAGAUAUUGCUGAUCUACAACUGCCCUUGACUGCAGAAGACUUUAUGGAAAUGUUGGGAGGUCAGUUAUAGUUUGAGGGCUGCAACUUGAUGAUCCUUAUUGUAGGCCCAUUAACUGCCAGUGGAGACUCAGAUAAAACCAAAGACAAUAUUGGCUAAGAACACUUAAAUAUAGUCAGGGAGCAUAAACUUGUAAACAAGGAAUCAUAAACGUUAAUUGAUCUGUAGAGCACUGCCAAACCUCCACCUGAACUGAAACUGCCUGUCUGUGAAACAGAAUAUUAUAUGUUGAGUUGAGAAAAUGGUUCUACUUUACAUGUUGUGUUGCUGACAAUACAUUUUGUUUACAAUUAUGUAAUAUGUUAAUUUAUUUUUCUCUUGUCAUGUCGUAACAUGAAAUCUGCACAUUCUUGGGGCUGUUGAUGAAGUCAGUCUCUAUUUGGUAUAUCUGUGAGAAGCUGAAUCAGGUUCUCUGUGGCUGUACACAAUAAAAAUAGUGGAUAAGAAGCAAA